UGAGUACGAGCUGCUACGGCAGCGAAGUGGGUGAUGUCAUGCUUCCAAGAAAAGCCCUAUACCCGUUAAGGCAUCACUGCCUGUACCCGAAACCGACACAGGUAGGGUGGUAGAGAAUACCGAGGGGCGCGAGGUAACUCUCUCUAAGGAACUCGGCAAAAUGGCCCCGUAACUUCGGGAGAAGGGGUGCCACCGCAAGGUGGUCGCAGUGGAGAGGCCCAGGCGACUGUUUACCAAAAACACAGGUCUCCGCUAAGUCGCAAGACGAUGUAUGGGGGCUGACGCCUGCCCAGUGCCGGAAGGUUAAGGAAGCUGGUCAGCGCAAGCGAAGCUGGCGACUGAAGCCCCGGUGAACGGCGGCCGUAACUAUAACGGUCCUAAGGUAGCGAAAUUCCUUGUCGGGUAAGUUCCGACCUGCACGAAUGGCGUAACGAUGGCCACACUGUCUCCUCCUGAGACUCAGCGAAGUUGAAAUGUUUGUGAAGAUGCAAUCUCCCCGCGGCAAGACGGAAAGACCCCAUGCACCUUUACUGUAGCUUUGCAUUGGACUGUGACGGGACUUGUGUAGGAUAGGUGGGAGGCUGUGAAGCGGGGGCGCUAGCUCUCGCGGAGCCAACGUUGAAAUACCACCCUGGUGUCGUUGCGGUUCUAACCUAGGGCCCUGAACCGGGCUCGGGGACCGUGCAUGGUAGGCAGUUUGACUGGGGCGGUCUCCUCCCAAAGAGUAACGGAGGAGUUCGAAGGUACGCUAGCUACGGUCGGACAUCGUAGUGAUCGUGCAAUGGCACAAGCGUGCUUGACUGCGAGACUGACAAGUCGAGCAGGUGCGAAAGCAGGACAUAGUGAUCCGGUGGUUCUGUAUGGAAAGGCCAUCGCUCAACGGACAAAAGGUACGCUGGGAUAACAGGCUGAUUCCUCCCAAGAGUUCAUAUCGACGGGGGAGUUUGGCACCUCGAUGUCGGCUCAUCACAUCCUGGGGCUGUAGCCGGUCCCAAGGGUAUGGCUGUUCGCCAUUUAAAGUGGUACGUGAGCUGGGUUUAAAACGUCGUGAGACAGUUUGGUCCCUAUCUGCCGUGGGCGCUGGAUAUUUGAGGGGACCUGCUCCUAGUACGAGAGGACCGGAGUGGACGUGCCGCUGGUGUACCGGUUAUGACGCCAGUCGUAUCGCCGGGUAGCUAAGCACGGAAGAGAUAACCGCUGAAAGCAUCUAAGCGGGAAACUCGCCUCAAGAUGAGAUAUCCCGGGGACUCGAUCCCCCUGAAGGGUCGUCCGAGACCAGGACGUUGAUAGGCCGGGUGUGGAAGCGCAGUAAUGCGUUAAGCUAACCGGUACUAAUUGCCCGUGCGGCUUGAUCC
rnacentral:rRNA from 1 species